GACGAACGCUGGCGGCGUGCUUAACACAUGCAAGUCGAACGGGUCUGCCCUGUUUUUUGCGGGGUGGGUCAGUGGCGAACGGGUGAGUAACACGUGAGUAACCUGCCCCUCACUUCUGGAUAACCGCUUGAAAGGGUGGCUAAUACGGGGUGUUCUGGCUGUGCCGCAUGGUGUGGCUGGGAAAGAUUCACUUUUGUGGUGUUUUGGUGGGGGAUGGGCUCGCGGCCUAUCAGCUUGUUGGUGGGGUGAUGGCCUGCCAAGGCUUUGACGGGUAGCCGGCCUGAGAGGGUGGGCGGUCACACUGGGACUGAGAUACCGCCCAGACUCCUGCGGGAGGCAGCAGUGGGGGGUAUUGCACAAUGGGCGGAAGCCUGAUGCAGCGACGUCGCGUGAGGGAUGGAGGCCUUCGGGUUGUGAACCUCUUUCGCCGGUGAAGAAGGUCCUGCUCUUUGUGGUGGGGUUGACGGUAGCCGGGUUAUGAAGCGCCGGCUAACUACGUG
rnacentral:rRNA from 1 species